AUUUUGAAUAAGAUGAAUGGUCAAACGUGAUUCUAAAAGUCAACAGUGUCAUACAUAAAAAAUACGGAGGGAGUAUAUAAUUAAGGUGUGUGUAUCAUCGAUAUCUGAUGGUCAUGCUUGCCAAUUAAGCCAUCGGUGACUGGCACUCGAUCUUGCACUUGAAUUUUGUUUCUCGAUCAGAUUAGAAAUUAACAUCAUGCUGCAUAUAUGCCAUGGUCAUGCCAAAGUUAAGCCAUGUUCUUGUGUAUGAUCACCGAUGUGUGUUUCCUAGCUACGACUGUCUAUGUUAAAUAAGCCAAGGGCAUGUUGUUUAAGUAGAGAUGCUGUGCUGCGCCUCGACCGUAUCUUUUCGUAUCAUACUAGCUAGCUAUGUGUGCGAAAUUAACUAUCAAUCCUGACAUGAAAAAGAUGAAUGAGCUGUGAGGAGGGGCAUUCUUUUCCAUCAAAUUAUUCCUUUGAUUUUAC
rnacentral:lncRNA from 1 species